rnacentral:rRNA from 1 species
UUGAAAUUUUUAUGAUAAGGAGUCGGACCUGCCCGGUGAAAUUUUUUAACGGCCGCGGUACUCUGACCGUGCAAAGGUAGCAUAAUCAUUUGCCUUAUAAUUGAAGGCUAGUAUGAAUGGUUUGACAAGAAUGUAGCUGUCUCUUUACAAUUUAAUAGAAUUUUAUUUUUAGGUGAAAAAGCCUAGAUUGAAUUAAUAGACAAGAAGACCCUAUCGAGCUUUAAAGAAGUUAAUAGAUAUUGAUUUUUAUUUAUAUAAAAUUUAGCUAUUAAAUAUUUUGGUUGGGGCGACUGAGGAAUAAAAAAAGCUUCCUUUUAUAAUUAUAAACAUACAGGUAUUGAUCCACAUUUAGUGAUUAAAGGAAUUAGUUACCGUAGGGAUAACAGCAUUAUCUUUUUUGAGAGUUCUAAUCGAAAAAAGGGUUUGUGACCUCGAUGUUGGACCAGAAUGUCCUAAAGAUGCAGAAGUCUUUAAGGGUUGGUCUGUUCGACCAUUAAAAUUCUA